AAAAAAACCCUGCAAACUACCUGCAGGGUCCUUCCAUUCCAUGUUUUUUGUUACCGUUCACAUGGAAGAAGGCAAAGGGAGAGGAGAAACCGGAGGAAGAACUUAUGGGGAAACGUAAGUCUUCUCCGCG
rnacentral:ncRNA from 1 species